rnacentral:lncRNA from 1 species
UUGUUCACAAGUCACAUGAAAAAAAAUUGCCAUUCAUCUCAAACAAUCAACAUCUUUACAUGCGAAUGCCCUCAAAAGGACUUUUUCAAGGCUUGUAAUGAGGUUGGGCUAACAAGAAAAAUUGGUUUUUCCGAAAUACAAAAUCCUUGAGUUAAGAGAGCUUUCAUAAUAUUUAACAAUUAAGCACAACUCUCUUUCUCACCAAUCUCACUUACUCCUAAAUUUUUCCCCUUUUCUUUUUCAUUGAGCUCAUCUUCAUGCUUUUCUUCUUUUCUUUUCUUUUUCUCAUGAAUUUUUCUUUUUCAACAUUCGAGCUCAAUGCUUUUCAUUUGCUUUUUCAAUUUUCCCCCAUACAACCCCAAACUUGAACCUUUUCAUCGCAUACAAUUAAGCUCAUCCCAAC